UACAGAGGUCUCAAGCGUUGUUCGGAUUCAUUGGGCGUAAAGGGUGCGUAGGCGGCGGGGCAAGUCCGCUGUGAAAGCCUGAGGCUCAACCUCAGCGGGUCGGUGGAUACUGCCAGUCUUGAAGGCGUUAGGGGGAGAUGGAAUUACCGGUGUAGCGGUGAAAUGCGUAGAUAUCGGUAGGAACACCCGUGGCGAAGGCGGUCUCCUGGGACGUUCUUGACGCUGAGGCGCGAAAGCUGGGGGAGCGAACGGG
rnacentral:rRNA from 1 species